UCAGUUCAUCAUCAUCAUCAUCUCACGUUGCAACCACUAUCAAGCCUCCUCCCUGGUCUAAACAUUGUUGUUUACACUUUUGGUUCCCUCUUUGAAUCUUAAUCGAUUCCAACUACAAUAGGGUUCCCUUUUCUCUUAAAAAUGCAAAAAGAAGGGAGAGCACGAAGUGGAUUCAGAGACAGUUCGAGAAGGGGGAUGGUGUAGCAGCGGUUUUAGAGUCGAUUUUGGUUGUGGCGUGCGAUAUUGGGUGGCCCAACGAGCCGAUGGUAGCCCUAGUGGUCGGAAGCUGUGAUUAUUAUUCUGGUAUCACUACUACUCGUUACACAAGCUCGCGAGCCAUUUGAUUCAAACAGAAGAAUGAGGUUGCGACCGAUUCAAGAAAAUGGUUGAUACAGUGAUGAAUUUUGUAAUUUUUUCCAUUGAGGUGGUUUAAUCGUUUUUGAAUAUAAUCAUGUAUAAAUGUAAGAAAUUAGUCUUGACAUAUUCUUUUAUGAAUAUAAAUGUAUAAACUCAAUCUUUGGAAAAUCUAUUUAUCAAUAUAAUAGUGUUUAAUAAUGAA